rnacentral:rRNA from 1 species
GUCCACGCCGUAAACGAUGGAUACUAGCUGUUGGGAGCAAUUUCAGUGGCUAAGCGAAAGUGAUAAGUAUCCCACCUGGGGAGUACGGGCGCAAGCCUGAAACUCAAAAGGAAUUGACGGGGGCCCGCACAAGCGGUGGAGCAUGUGGUUUAAUUCGAUGAUACGCGAGGAACCUUACCAAGGCUUAAAUGUAGAUUGACCGAUUUGGAAACAGAUCUUUCGCAAGACAAUUUACAAAGGUGCUGCAUGGUUGUCGU